rnacentral:misc_RNA from 1 species
GAUGAAGAACGCAGCGAAAUGCGAUACGUAGUGUGAAUUGCAGAAUCCAGUGAAUCAUCGAAUCUUUGAACGCACAUUGCGCCCUUUGGUAUUCCAAAGGGCAUGCCUGUUCGAGCGUCAUUUGUACCCUCAAGCUUUGCUUGGUGUUGGGCGUCUUGUCUCUAGCUUUGCUGGAGACUCGCCUUAAAGUAAUUGGCAGCCGGCCUACUGGUUUCGGAGCGCAGCACAAGUCGCACUCUCUAUCAGCAAAGGUCUAGCAUCCAUUAAGCCUUUUUUUCAACUUUUGACCUCGGAUCAGGUAGGGAUACCCGCUGAACUUAAGCAUAUCAAUAAGCGGAGGA